CAUACGUCCUACGGGAGAAAGGGGGCUUCGGCUCCCGCUAUCGGAUGAGCCUAUGCCGGAUUAGCUGGUUGGUGAGGUAAUGGCUCACCAAGGCGACGAUCCGUAGCUGGUCUGAGAGGAUGAUCAGCCACAUCGGGACUGAGACACGGCCCGAACUCCUACGGGAGGCAGCAGUGGGGAAUAUUGGACUAUGGGGGCNGACCNCUGAUCCAGCCAUGCCGCGUGUGUGAAGAAGGCCCUCGGGUUGUAAAGCACUUUCAGUGAGGAAGAACGCCUGUCGGUUAAUACCCGGCAGGAAAGACAUCACUCACAGAAGAAGCACCGGCUAACUCCGUGCCAGCAGCCGCGGUAAUACGGAGGGUGCAAGCGUUAAUCGGAAUUACUGGGCGUAAAGCGCGCGUAGGUGGCUUGAUAAGCCGGUUGUGAAAGCCCCGGGCUCAACCUGGGAACGGCAUCCGGAACUGUCAAGCUAGAGUGCAGGAGAGGAAGGUAGAAUUCCCGGUGUAGCGGUGAAAUGCGUAGAGAUCGGGAGGAAUACCAGUGGCGAAGGCGGCCUUCUGGACUGACACUGACACUGAGGUGCGAAAGCGUGGGUAGCAAACAG
rnacentral:rRNA from 1 species